rnacentral:ncRNA from 1 species
UUAGAAUCGGACAAGAACCUGCCGAUUGUACGAGAGGAUCUCGGUGGACUAAUCUCUGGUAUACCAGUUAUAAUUUAUUGCCUAAAGGACAAUUAUUGUACGGCUGGAAGGCUACAUUAGGACAAGAUAACCGCUGAUAGCGUCUUAAGCGGGAAGCUUAUCUUGACACGAUUCUUUAUUAAGGUAACUGUAGAUCACAGUUUUAAUAGGUUGCAGGUGUAAGCAUAGUAAUAUGUUAAGCUAGGCAAUACUAAACCCU